GUGAGAAAUGCCAAAAAUCCCAUCAGUCAAGUCGCAAAGAGACUUUGUGAACAAGAGAGGGCAGAAAGCCACAGAAACAAGGUGUUAAACAAAAGUUGGCAUUUUGUUUCGGAAAAGAAGAGAAAUGGAUGCUUCCUCUUGCACAAUGAAGACUUUGCCUUUGUUGAAGAAAAACGUGAUGAUGGCAAUUUGUUAUGUGAUGUAAUUUCCCAAAAAAACAUGGAAAGCUUUUUUUACUGUGCCUUGUGACUCCAAGCUUAUUAACGUUGUAUAUAUUAGAAACUUGGAGAGAGUCCAGAAACAUCGCAGGCUUUUUGAUGUUGAUUAAAUUCACCGUAAAUUGGCUUGUCUACCCUUCAAAACAGGAUAUGUACUAAUGCCUUUAUUGCACAGCAUGGAGCGAAAAGACUAAAAAAGGGAUGGCUUGGGUAAGGGCAGUGUGGCAAGAGAAGACAAGGCAAGAGGAAGGGACGGUGCCGGACAGCUGGGUGGACCCAAAGAACAUGUUAUUGUACUGGCCAAAUGUUGCAAAUGCAACAAGAUAUUUGAAGGAACGACGGCCACCAUCUGAUAGUUGGAGAAAGUUUCCACUUGUGAAAGAGAAGAUGAGAUCUGAUUACUUUAAAGAGUGUGACAACUGUGAACUCACAAGUAGUACAGAAGCUGAAGAAGGUUCACUGGAAGCAAAAAGAAGAAAAAUAUCGAAGAAAUUUGAAGACUGCUUGACAGAUCAUAGUUGUGACACUGAUCCACAAUUCGAAGAAGAAGAUAACCUUGGAAAUCGUCAGCUUCCUAACAGUAAUGAAGCAGAGCUAGAACUUCCUUUUGCUCCAAGGAAGGUGUGCAAGCUCUCCAAUGCAAGCUCAUCAUCUUCUGUUUCAUCCAGGGGAUCAAGCUCUGGCUCUUCGUUGCCACUUCAAAAAAAGCAGACUUCAAAAGCA
ensembl:lncRNA